UGAGGAAUAUUGGUCAAUGGACGCAAGUCUGAACCAGCCAUGCCGCGUGAAGGAUGAAGGCGUUCUGCGUUGUAAACUUCUUUUAUCAGGGAAGAAACCUCAGUAUUCUUAUUGAGCCGACGGUACCUGAUGAAUAAGCACCGGCUAACUCCGUGCCAGCAGCCGCGGUAAUACGGAGGGUGCAAGCGUUAUCCGGAUUCACUGGGUUUAAAGGGUGUGUAGGCGGGCUUUUAAGUCAGUGGUGAAAUCUCCAGGCUCAACCUGGAAACUGCCAUUGAUACUAUUAGUCUUGAAUAUUGUUGAGGUAGGCGGAAUAUGUCAUGUAGCGGUGAAAUGCUUAGAUAUGACAUAGAACACCGAUUGCGAAGGCAGCUUGCUAAACAAUUAUUGACGCUGAGGC
rnacentral:rRNA from 1 species